rnacentral:rRNA from 1 species
CCCUUAGAUGUUCUGGGCCACACGCGCGUUACACUGAUGAAGCCAGCGAGUAUAUCGCCUUCACCGGAAGGUGCGGGUAAUCUUGUGAAACUUCAUCGUGCUGGGGAUAGACCAUUGCAAUUAUUGGUCUUGAACGAGGAAUUCCUAGUAAGCAUGAGUCAUCAACUCGUGCUGAUUACGUCCCUGCCCUUUGUACACACCGCCCGUCGCUACUACCGAUUGAAUGGUUUAGUGAGAUCUCGGGAUUGGAGACGUUGCGCCGCAAGGCACAUCGUCCUCGAGAACUUGAUCAAACUUGAUCAUUGAGAGGAAGUAAAAGUCGUAACA